UCCAGGUCUUGGCUGUAGUGACUAGUGCUGCUGUGAACACUGGGGUGCAUGUAUUUUUUGAAUGGUCGUUUUUUCUGGGUAUAUGCCCAGGAGUGGGAUUGCUGGAUCAUAUGGCAACUCUGUUUAGCUUUUCGAGAAACCUCCACAGUGUUCUCCAUAGUGGUUGUACCAAUUUACAUCCCAACAGGGUGGGGGAGGCCCCCUUUUCUCCACACCCUCUCCAGCAUUUGUUAUAGCUUAAUGAUGGCUAUUCUGACAGGUGGAAGGGGGUACCUUAUUGCUGUUUGGAUUUGCAUUUCUCUGAUAAUCAGGGAUGUUGAGCAUCUUUUUGUGUGCCUGUUGGCCAUCUGUACGUUUCUGGAGAAAUGUCUGCUUAGGUCUUUGGCCCGUUUUUUGAUUGGGUUGUUUGGAAUAUUGAGCUGCAGGAGCUAUUGGUCUAUUUUGGAGGUUAAUCCCAUGUCAGCCUCGUUGUUCACAACUCUUUUCUCCCAAACCAUAGGUUGUCUUUUUGUUUUGUUGUCGGUUUCCUUCACUGUGCAAAAGCCUGUCAGUUUGAUUGGGUCCCAUUGGUUUAUGUUUGCUUUUAUUUCCAUUACCUUGGGAGACUGACCUAAGAAAACACAUGGUAUGAUUUACAUCAGAAAAUGUUGUGCCUGGGAUCUCAGAGAUAUAUGGCAUAGUGUCUUUAACCCGUUUUGCAAUUAUUUUUGUGCAUGGUGUGAGGGUGUGUUCUGGUUUCAUUGAUUUACGUGUAGCUGUCCAGGUUUCCCAACCCUGGUUGGGAAGAGACUGUCUUUUGCCCCUUUGAUGUUCUUGCCUCCUUUGUGGAAGAUUAAGGGGCCAUGGGUGUGUGCGUUUAUUUCUGGGCUGUUGUUUAAAGAUACAGCAAGACAGCAUUAGAAGUGAAGGAGCUCAGUGUGUGUGGGGGGACAGAGCCCUGUCCCCAAGGACGUCCACACCCUGACCCCCAGACCUUGCGACUCUGUGACGUCCACAGCAGAGGGGACUUGGCAGCUGUGGCCACAUGAAGGACCUUGGCUGGGGAGAUGGCCGGGAUUUUCCAGGUGGUCCAGCGUCAUCACAGAGGUUCCCAUAAGAGGCAGAGGACCGUUUGAUCGCGAGAUGCUGGGCUUUAGGCUCUGGGGAUGGAGGAGGGACCGCACGCUCAGGACUGCUGCCGCCUCCAGAAGCUGGGAGAGGCCGCAGAUUCUCCGCUGGAGCUGCUCCAGGAGGAACCAGCCCUGCGGGCAGCCUGACUUGAGCGCUUUGGCCUUUAAAACACGAAGACAGCACAUCUUCCUUUGAAGCUGCCCGGUCUGUGGUACUUCUUUAGAGGGACCACGAGAGGCUGCGGGAUCCAGGGCUGCGAGGGAGCGGACACCGCAGAAAAGGUAACUCCUUGGGAAGCUCUGAUGACCGGACAGAUGAGCAGAAGCCGAAAGCUCAGGGAGAAAGAUCUACUUUUCCACGAACCGCUUUUCACGAGCGUCCCUAGGAGCCUGCGAACUCUGUGAGGGCAGGACUUAAGGUGCUUUGGGUUCCCUUCCAAAGGGGAGCAUGCCCACCCCUGCCCAACCGGUCCACCUGGCUGGAGCCCCAUGAGAAGCUGCCUGCUGGGGGUGUUGCAGUGUCAGAGGUCAGGUUGCACCCCCACCUCCCCGUGCCCCAACAUCCAGCACCCCGGUUCUGGAACACGUGUGUGGACUCAGAUGCACUGAGGCUGAAUUUGCAGGAACAGAGUUUGGAGCUGGCUAGCAGGGACCAUCUGAGUCCGAAGGUUUUGGGACCCGCCCUCCUGCCUGUCCUCCAGAGCAGCCCGAAGCUGAACUGCUUCCUGCAUCUCUGCAGAGCAGGGAGGUACAGACGAUGCUGGCAGCUCUCCUUCUCCUCUCAUGCCCCUGGACAUCCUCUGUGGUCACCUGCAGGUCUCCUCCAGCCAGCCGGCUGGCUCGCGGUAAGAACCGCCAGAGCACUUGCGAACGUCCAGGCAGUGGCCUCGCCUUGCCAGGGGACUUCAGAUGCCAGCCUCCAGUACCAGGAGGGAGAAAUGCCUCUUGUUGAAGCCGCCCCGUCUGGGGUAUCUGCUUUUGGCAGCUGAGCGGACUCAUACUGGUCUAGACUCACAGUCUGUAACCUCUGGGAGGAGGUCCAGGAAUGGAACCAUCCGAGAUGGACUCUCUAAUAUUUUCUGGGAGGAAUCAAGGGACUCCAAUGCUGGAAGCAAGGCCCCUGGAGGACCUCAGGGUGGUGCUGACAGCCCUUUGUGACUCAGGGACUCACCGGUGUCCGCCCAGGCAGUUCCCCUUUCCGUCGGCCUCAGGGAACUGCUCAGAUCUUCUCAUGAGAGGUAUGGGGACUCCCUGGGUUAAGGAUCUGGCCUCUGUCGUGAGCUGUGGUGUAGGUCACAGAAGUGGCUUGGAUCCCACAUGGCUGCGGUGUAGACUGGCAGCUGCAGCUCCGAUUCAACCCCUAUAGUCUGGGAACUUCCACAUGCUGCAGUCACGGCCCUAAAAAGAAAAAAAAGCUUUGAUCCCAGAACACAGGCGGGGGAUGACCCCAGAGGGGGAACAAAAAAAAAACAACCAGUGUGGUUAUUCUGGCUCUGGGGGUCCAGCUAACUGAGCGAUGGUGGAUUCAUAAAUUCUAGAACAGGAAGAGACUGGAACAGAAUCGCCAACACCCCGGGGCUACGUGACGGGCGGAUUCGUCAGGACUGUUUCUGGACCCAGAGUGAAGGGUCAGCAGGGGGCUGUCCCCGAGGAUGUAAGGUCUCCUUAGCCCUGGGCUGGGGUUCUCGGGGGGGACAGAUGUCUCAGCAGCAGAUGGGGAAGCGGGUAGUUACCGAGACCGUUACCUGGACCCCAGGCUGCAGGGACAUCGGUACCUAAAAUAAUCGGAACCUGUUUCUCUUUUCCCCGAGGAAUCCCGACUGCUCCACAGACAGGUGCCAGCGUUCAGACCCUGAGGCUGCCUCUGGCUCCGCAAGUGUGGAUGUGCCCAGGCAGGUCUCAGGACGGAGCCUCGAGAAGCAGGAAAGGCCGUGUGGAUGGAGCCCCUGGGGACGGAGAGGAGGAGGAAGAUGGACUGGGUCGAGCAGAGGAGUCAUCUGAUUCACCGUACAGGACAGCGUCCAGCCUUCACGCCGGGACGUCCUCCAGGGACGCCGUCGGGAGUCACAGGCUUCAGGAAGGUAGGUGCUUCGUCUGUAACGUCUUUAGC